ACAUUGUCAAUACACAGACAGACAUCGGAAGCUUUCUUUCUUUCUUCCUAUUCGUCGCCGCCGUCGUCCUUGUGAAGAGAAGAGAGAGAAAGAAAGAUGGGUGGGGGCCAGUUGAUGAAGCGAAUCCCUCGCAUCAAAUUUCCCCAGAGACAUCCAAAGCCCGCUGGUUCUGAAUCCCAGACAGCAGCACCUUUAGCCAGCGAUUCUGUUAAAGCUUUCUUUUCAGGUUCAAAGGCUUCUACAACUUUGGGAGGAAAAGCUUCUGAACAACCCCCAAGAACUCCAGUAUCCAAAGAAGAGAUUGAAGCUAUUUUGUUGGGUGGCUGCAUCUGAUCUUUUGUGGAGCCUGAAUAAUGGAGGGCCAUAUUCUGGACAUUGUUCUGACUAUUUUAAGCUCUUGGAAACUCUUAGUUCACUUUACCUUGUUUAAAUGACAAUUACAGCCUACUGGUCGAAUUCAUGUGUAGUCAAACACCUUAACGAUGUGAUAUUGAAUUCCAUCCU